AACGUUGGAAAUAAUAUAAAACAGCCAAUUUAAGAGCAUUUCCUGAAAGCCAAAGCUAAAAUCAGUCUUCAGGGAACGCUUUAAGGAUUAUAUUUUAAUUCCUUUAUGACUGAUAUAACCUUACAAGCGACCUUUAAGGACAUUUCCUCAAGUUUCCUGAAGUUCAAACUGGGGGAUUGUAACCAAUCUUCUGAAUAAUACAGUAAAUAACAUUCAGAACGUCAUACUGAAUAUUCCAGUUAAAUAUUAGGGUAGGGGUGUACAAACUUUUUGCCACAAUCCCAAAGUUGAAAGUAAUUGGGGGCCAUUUUGCUUUUCCAACGCAAAAUAAUUUUGUUGGGAUUUUUUUUACCUGCUAAUUUUAAUGAGACAAAGUGGCAUUUCCUUUAUCUUAAUAAAAGGCAGACAGUUUCCUAAAUUUUGGGGUAUAUUUGGUCUAAAAAUCUUUUAGUCAAUUUCUAGCAACAAAAAUGAGAACUUUCUUCAAAAGCCCUUCAGGGACCUUCUACACAGUAAAAAAUGCGGUGUUAAUAUUUCAGUGUUAACCUAAUUUAAUCUAAAUAGAGUAUUUAUAACUAUAUAGAGUGUAAAUCGGCUCUGACAUCGGAGUUAAAAGUCAGAGUAAAAUGCUACAUUCACGCAGUGAAACUUUUGACUCUGUCAAGUGUCAAUAAUGCGCCAGUAAAGAUUUUUCGCAAGAGGAGGAGAGGAGGAAGAAAGAAGACGAAGCACCAGUUUUCUGAAGUUCGUGAGGCUCUUUCCAUUUUGGAUUCUGAACGGAGUUGUGCUACAGAAAAGACCAUGGUUUUGUUUGGUGGGGAGCAGAAGUACGUGAAACUUUCUGACCUAACAUUUGAUGCAUUUGUGAGAGGAGAGAAGAAGAAAGAGAUUAUUUUACUAACGUAAAAUAAUCUCACUACUUUUUUCUUACAUAAGAAACCCAUCUUGCAUUAAGUAAUUUUUUCUUUGCUUUAACAUGUAUUAAAAUGUUGUACUGGAUUGAACUCACUGGCAUUUUGUAAAAUUAGUUGGGUUACUCUACUUAUUUCACCCUUUGUUUAUCAGCAGUAAAUGUUUUCAUUUUCACUUCUUUAAUAUUUCUUUCUGCUUUAGUGUGCCUGAAAUUCAACAUUCCAGAAGGCAGACAUAUCUGAAGGUGCAAUCUGAUACAGAAGUUGAUGUAUGUUUUUGAAGAAAUAGUGAAUCAGUCACCUGAAACCUUUCGAUUUAUGUUGAGCAACAAAGAUUAUCCUGGUGCUGUUUUACCAUCUUCAUCUUCAGUCACAUCUGAUGAUACUAUCAUUCUGAAUUUCACAAUGUGUGACCCAUCAGAAGAAGAAGCCACUGCUGAAGGAAGCCAACCUAAAAGGCCAUGUCACAUCAUAUUGCUGUCUUUGGUGAACAUUGUUUUGAAGAUCAUUAAACUGACACUGUUACAGUAAUUAUGUCACUGGAUCAUAAAGUUGAAUAAAUGUCACUAUGAAC